UUAGCUCAGUAGGUAGAGCAUUUGACUUUUAAUCAAAGGGUCAUGAGUUCGAAUCUCAUA
rnacentral:tRNA from 1 species